rnacentral:tRNA from 1 species
GGUGGCUCAGUGGUAGAGUGCUUGCCUUGCAUGCAUGAGGCCCUGGGUUCUAGCAAGCAGGAGGCCUUAAGUUCAAAUCCUAGUACCACCA